GAGCUGCCAUGUACUAGGCCACGUGGCAAGGGCCUGGUUGGGGACCUCCAGGGGUUGAGAGCAUCCUCUGGACAACAUGGAAAAAGAAAAUGAAAAUGGUGACCUCAGCCCUAUAGCUAGAAGGAAUUGAAUCCUGUCAACAACGAUACUCAUCACUCACUGCAGAUGUUACUUUAAGACAUUCUGGAGCAGCGUCAUGUGCAGGAGAAAAUAGUAUCAUCUCAGCCUUCUAUGAAAUCAAGGCAAUAUGGUAAAGCCAAAAAGAUCUCAACUGCUGAAACCAGGAGCACAUUUCAAAGCUAUAUUGUCCAUAGAGGCUGAAAUGAAGAUGUCUAGCACACUUAAUUAUUAGACAACACGUGCUUCAUACUUUUUAUUCCGCUAUCAUAGUGAAGAAGAAUGUUAAAAUACAUAAAUUGCAUCUUUUUUAAUCAUAAAGAGAAUUAUAUGCAAAAAUGAAUAUUUCAACAAAUUAAAGUCAUAAUUUUUUAAAGA
rnacentral:lncRNA from 1 species